CCGGCGCACGGUGAGUAACGCGUAUGCAACUUACCUAUCAGAGGGGAUAACCCGGCGAAAGUCGGACUAAUACCGCAUGAAGCAGGGGUCCCGCAUGGGGAUAUUUGCUAAAGAUUCAUCGCUGAUAGAUAGGCAUGCGUUCCAUUAGGCAGUUGGCGGGGUAACGGCCCACCAAACCGACGAUGGAUAGGGGUUCUGAGAGGAAGGUCCCCCACAUUGGUACUGAGACACGGACCGA
rnacentral:rRNA from 1 species